AAACGAAACGCACACUGCCAUUUUGAAUGUUAUUUUAUCAGAAAUGACAGAUUUAUUGAUUUUUCUAUCCCUUGAAAGUACGAAGCAAGUUUAUGUGAAUCGUGAAAGUUUUCAGUGUUUACCUUCGUUGUGGGAGAGAAGUCCCUACGAGCUGUUUAGUGUAGUCUGACAGGCGUCAGGCAUUAUGGAAGCCCCAUCUGCUGAAGCUGGCGACCUUUUUGGUCGCCUUUGGCGACCUAAAGGCUGACGCUUGCGUCUUCCGCAGCACCACAAAUGUCAGAAUACCUAUUGUAGUCUCACCUUUAAACAUGAAUUAUUAACUGCUUUAGUUGAGAUUAAUAAAGUAUUAUCACCAAA